GAUGAACGCUGACAGAAUGCUUAACACAUGCAAGUCGAUGGGGAAGUGGUGCUUGCACCAUGGUAACCAUGGCGGACGGGUGAGUAACGCGUAAGGAACUUGCCUGCGGGACUGGGAUAACAGCAGGAAACUGCUGAUAAUACCGGAUAAGGUCAUUAAGCUGCAUAGCUUAGUGAUGAAAGGAGACGCCUGCGGAGAGCCUUGCGUCCUAUUAGCUAGUUGGAGGGGUAACGGCCCACCAAGGCGAAGAUAGGUAGCCGGCCUGAGAGGGUGGACGGCCACAAGGGGACUGAGAGACGGCCCUUACUCCGACGGGAGGCAGCAGUGGGGAAUAUUGGACAAUGGGGGCAACCCUGAUCCAGCAAUUCUGUGUGCACGAAGACGGUUUUCGGAUUGUAAAGUGCUUUCAGCAGGGAAGAAGGAAGUGACGGUACCUGCAGAAGAAGCGACGGCUAAAUACGU
rnacentral:rRNA from 1 species